AUGAUAGAAGAGAUUUUAAAUGCGCUUGCCUGAUUUAGCUUGGCCUCUUGUACACCUGCCAUCUGCUGUGAGGAGAACAUGCCCCAGCUGGCUGCUGGUCCUAGAAUAAAGAGAUUCAUGGAGAGGAUGUGAACUUGACUCUCAGCCUGAAGCAGAGCCAUUCCAGCCAACCCACAGACCACUGAGCAAGCAAAAUAAAUAUGAGCAAGUCCUGCCAGCCUGAAAGAGAAAAGCCACACAAACAAAAGUGCCAGAGACCUGAUAUUCUCCGUUGUCAAGAAAUAUCUGGAUUUCCCAAAGAAGGCUUGGUCACGUCACUGGAAGAUGUAGGAAAGUAGAAAGCUGGAAGUUUGUACCUCUUAAUCUCCCUCACCUAUGGAGAGGAAUGGAAUAUAUGCGUCUCUCUUUUAAGGACACAACUCAAAAAUUGCAAAUAUCCAUUCUACUUGAGUCUGAUUGGCUAAGAACCCAGUAACUCGGCCACAUCUACCUGCCUGGGAUGCUGGAAAAUGAAAUCUUUACCUGGCCUAGCAUAUGCAGUUAAGUCUCCUAUUACAGACUUCCCUGGUGGCGCAGUGGUUAAGAAUCCGCCUGCCAAUGCAGGGGACACAGGUUCAAGCCCUGGUCUGGGAAGA